GACGAACGCUGGCGGCGUGCUUAACACAUGCCAGUCGAACGGAAAGGCCCUGCUUUUGUGGGGUGCUCGAGUGGCAAACGGGUGAGUAACACGUGAGUAACCUGCCCUUGACUUUGGGAUAACUUCAGGAAACUGGGGCUAAUACCGGAUAGGAGCUCCUGCUGCAUGGUGGGGGUUGGAAAGUUUCGGCGGUUGGGGAUGGACUCGCGGCUUAUCAGCUUGUUGGUGGGGUAGUGGCUUACCAAGGCUUUGACGGGUAGCCGGCCUGAGAGGGUGACCGGCCACAUUGGGACUGAGAUACGGCCCAGACUCCUACGGGAGGCAGCAGUGGGGAAUAUUGCACAAUGGGCGGAAGCCUGAUGCAGCAACGCCGCGUGCGGGAUGACGGCCUUCGGGUUGUAAACCGCUUUCGCCUGUGACGAAGCGUGAGUGACGGUAAUGGGUAAAGAAGCACCGGCUAACUACGUG
rnacentral:rRNA from 1 species